rnacentral:rRNA from 1 species
CCUACGGGGGGCAGCAGUGAGGAAUAUUGGUCAAUGGACGAGAGUCUGAACCAGCCAAGUAGCGUGAAGGAUGACUGCCCUAUGGGUUGUAAACUUCUUUUAUAUGGGAAUAAAAUGUUCCACGUGUGGGAUUUUGUAUGUACCAUAUGAAUAAGGAUCGGCUAACUCCGUGCCAGCAGCCGCGGUAAUACGGAGGAUCCGAGCGUUAUCCGGAUUUAUUGGGUUUAAAGGGAGCGUAGGUGGAUUGUUAAGUCAGUUGUGAAAGUUUGCGGCUCAACCGUAAGAUUGCAGUUGAAACUGGCAGUCUUGAGUGCAGUAGAGGUGGGCGGAAUUCGUGGUGUAGCGGUGAAAUGCUUAGAUAUCACGAAGAACUCCGAUUGCGAAGGCAGCUCACUGGACUGCAACUGACACUGAGGCUCGAAAGUGUGGGUAGCAAACAGGAUUAGAUACCCGAGUAGUC